UGCCAAUCUUACAAUAUAUCUACUAUCAUAGAACAAAGAAACUUUGCUGCAAGAUGAAAAUGUGCUACCUACGAAAGAAACUGCUAGCGUAGAAAAGGACAUAGACAUUGAUCCCCGACACAACGACACACGUUUUAAAGUUUCAUCUGCACACAUGCCUGGUGGCCGUAACACGAACAUCCCAAAACGGGCUACUGCAACAAAGCAUGUGAAUAACAAAGAAACUUGGGUCCAUGAAGAAAAUGUCCGACCAAGGAAGGAAAGUGCUAGUGCAGAAAAGAUAUCAAAAGUGGCUAGUUCAACAAAGCAAGCUAAUAAACAACAAGGCAGUACGGUGACUGGAUUAGAUGCCAACUCCAUAGACGU